UAGGGAAUCUUCCGCAAUGGGCGCAAGCCUGACGGAGCAACGCCGCGUGAGUGAUGAAGGUCUUCGGAUCGUAAAACUCUGUUAUUAGGGAAGAACAAAUGUGUAAGUAACUAUGCACGUCUUGACGGUACCUAAUCAGAAAGCCACGGCUAACUACGUGCCAGCAGCCGCGGUAAUACGUAGGUGGCAAGCGUUAUCCGGAAUUAUUGGGCGUAAAGCGCGCGUAGGCGGUUUUUUAAGUCUGAUGUGAAAGCCCACGGCUCAACCGUGGAGGGUCAUUGGAAACUGGAAAGCUUGAGUGCAGAAGAGGAAGGUGGAAUUCCAAGUGUAGCGGUGAAAUGCGCAGAGAUAUGGAGGAACACCAGUGGCGAAGGCGACUUUCUGGUCUGUAACUGACGCUGAUGUGCGAAAGCGUGGGGAGCAAACAGG
rnacentral:rRNA from 1 species